GAUGAGCGCUGGCGGCGUGCUUAACACAUGCAAGUCGAACGGAAAGGCUCCUGCUUGCAGGGGUACUCGAGUGGCGAACGGGUGAGUAACACGUGGGUGAUCUGCCCUGCACUUCGGGAUAAGCUUGGGAAACUGGGUCUAAUACCGGAUAGGACCGCAUUUUGGAUGGUGUGGUGGAAAGUUUUUUCGGUGUGGGAUGAGCUCGCGGCCUAUCAGCUUGUUGGUGGGGUAAUGGCCUACCAAGGCGUCGACGGGUAGCCGGCCUGAGAGGGUGUACGGCCACAUUGGGACUGAGAUACGGCCCAGACUCCUACGGGAGGCAGCAGUGGGGAAUAUUGCACAAUGGGCGCAAGCCUGAUGCAGCGACGCCGCGUGGGGGAUGACGGCCUUCGGGUUGUAAACUCCUUUCGCUAGGGACGAAGAGUAAUUGACGGUACCUGGAGAAGAAGCACCGGCUAACUACGUG
rnacentral:rRNA from 1 species